AAAAAGAAAGGAAGACUACAAGGUAGAAAAAGGUUGUUGUUGGUGACAAGUCGGUAUGCUCCCUCACUCCUGAUUGAUUAGACAGGUCUUGGGUCAGAUACCUGUCUAAUCAGAUAAUAUUAUCCUGAUUGAUUAGACAGGUCUUGGGCCAGAUGCCUGUGUCAAGUUAGGGAUUGAGCAUUUCUAGUCAGGAAUAGUGCAAAAGCAUGAGUUGGCAGAAAUGUCCCAGUGUGGCUGGAACAGAGUAAGCAAGAGAGGGUAGAAAAUGAGGUAAGAAAACUAGCGGGCAGACAGGUCAGUUAGGCUUCUAUGAUGUAGUCAGACUUUUACCCCUUAAAAGAAUCUGUAAGCCCAGUGUGUUGGAGGAGGAGCCAAGAAAGAAAGCCAGGAAGUUAUGAGAGGAAGAACUGGCAGAGGUUGAACAUGGAGUAGGGUGAAACAAACGGUCCUCUAAGAGAGUGAAUGGAGAGUGGGAAAAUAUCCUAGACGGCCAGACAGCGUGAAGGACCCGGGCAAAGUUGGUGACACAUUAUAGCAAAAUAAUAUAGAGCUUCUGUACUGUGUGCUGAGCUGCUUGAAAGCAGGUUCAGACCUGAUUACCUGAGUGGAUGAAUGUAAGGAGAGAAAAAAAGUCAACAAGGGUGAUGUAAAAAAAAAAAAUGGAGGGGAGAGGUCUGGAGAACUGGCUCAGUGGUUAAGAGCACCUGCUGCUCUUGUAGAAAAGCCGGGUUCAGGUCACAACCAUCCGUAGCUCAAGUUCCAGGCAACCCAGUGCCCUCUUGUGACUGCCUUGAGCACCAGGCGUAUACACGGUACACAUAAAUACAUGCAGCCAAAACUCAGACACAUAGCUAACUAACUACCUAACUCUCUUUUCUUUUUUCUUUUUUUAUUAGAUAUUUUCUUCAUUUACAUUUCAAAUGCUAUCCCGAAAGUCUCCUAUACUCUCCCCCCGCCCUGCUCCCCUACCCACCCACUCCUCCUUCUUGUCCCUGCCAUUCCCCUGUACUGGGACAUAAAAAUCUUUGCAAGACCAAGGGCCUCUCCUCCCAAUGAUGGCCGAUUAGGCCAACCUCUGCUACAUAUACAGCUAGAGACAUGAGCUCUGGGGGUACUGGUUAGUUCAUAUUGUUGUUCCUCCUAUAGGGUUGCAGACCCCUUCAGCUCCUUGGGUGCUUUCUCUAGCUCCUCCUUGUGUUCCAUCCAAUAGAUGACUGUGAGCAUCCACUUCUGUAUUUGCUAGGCACUGGCAUAGCCUCAUAUGAGACAGCUGUAACAGGGUCCUGACAGCAAAAUCUUGCUGGCAUAUGCAAUAGUGUCUUCCUUUGGUGGUUGUAUAUGGGAUGGAUCCCCGGGUGGGGCAGUCUCUGGAUGGUCCUUCCUUCCGUCUCAGCUCCGAACUUUGUCUCUGUAACUCCCUCCUCUCUCUCUUUUCUUAAUGGAGGUGCUGGGUGGCAGUGGCCAAACUUUGUCUCUGUACCUCCCUCCCCUCUCUGUUUUCUUAAUGGAGGUGCUGGGUGGUGGUGGCACAUGCAUUCCUUUAAUCCCAGAACUUGAGAGACAGAGCACAUAGAUCUCUUAGUUUGAGGCCAGCCUGGUCCAGUGAGUUGCAGGACAGCCAGGGCUACACAGAGAAAACC
rnacentral:lncRNA from 1 species